rnacentral:rRNA from 1 species
UCAAGCGCAACAAGGGCGUUUGGUGGAUGCCUUGGCACUGAGAGGCGAUGAAGGACGUAGCACGCUGCGAUAAGCCACGGGGAGUUGCGAGCAGACUCUGAUCCGUGGAUUUCCGAAUGGGGAAACCCACCGCGCUUAAGCGGUAUCGUAUGGUGAAUACAUAGCCAUGCGAGGCAAACCCGGUGAACUGAAACAUCUAAGUAGCCGGAGGAAAGGACAUCAACCGAGACUCCGUUAGUAGUGGCGAGCGAACGCGGACCAGGCCAGUGGCGGACCUGUAAGAACCGGAAGCGUCUGGAAAGGCGCGCCAGAGUGGGUGAUAGCCCCGUACGGGUAGAAAGCAGGUUCGUCCUCGAGUAAGACGGGACACGUGAAAUCCUGUCCGAACGUGGGGGGACCACCCUCCAAGCCUAAGUACUCCUCAGUGACCGAUAGUGAACCAGUACCGUGAGGGAAAGGUGAAAAGAACCCCGAUGAGGGGAGUGAAACAGUUCCUGAAACCGGACGCCUACAAGCAGUGGGAGCCCCUUUAUGGGGUGACCGCGUACCUUUUGCAUAAUGGGUCAGCGAGUUAAUCUAUGUAGCAAGCUUAAGCCGAUAGGCGUAGGCGCAGCGAAAGCGAGUCUUAAUAGGGCGACAUAGUUACAUGGAUUAGACCCGAAACCGAGUGAUCUAGCCAUGGGCAGGCUGAAGGUGCGGUUACACGUACUGGAGGGCCGAACCCACCAAUGUUGAAAAAUUGGGGGAUGACCUGUGGCUAGGGGUGAAAGGCCAAUCAAACUCGGAAAUAGCUGGUUCUCCGCGAAAUCUAUUUAGGUAGAGCGUCGUAUGAUUGCCGCCGGGGGUAGAGCACUGGAUGGGCUAGGGGGACGCGAGUCUUACCAAACCUAACCAAACUCCGAAUACCGGCGAGCUCAAUACGGCAGGCAGACCGUGGGUGCUAAGGUCCAUGGUCGAGAGGGAAAAAGCCCAGACCGCCAGCUAAGGUCCCUAAGUCAUGGCUAAGUGGGAAAGGAUGUGGGAAGGCCAAGACAACCAGGAGGUUGGCUUAGAAGCAGCCAUCCUUUAAAGAAAGCGUAAUAGCUCACUGGUCUAGUUAAGCCGUCCUGCGCCGAAAAUGUACCGGGGCUCAAGCCAUGCACCGAAGCUGCGGGCGUGUCUCUGACACGCGGUAGCGGAGCGUUCCGUAAGCCUGUGAAGGCGCGUCGCGAGGCGCGCUGGAGGUAUCGGAAGUGAGAAUGCUGACAUGAGUAGCGAUAAACAGGGUGAGAAACCCUGUCGCCGAAAGUCCAAGGUUUCCUGCGCAAGGCUAAUCCGCGCAGGGUGAGCCGGCCCCUAAGGCGAGGGCGAAAGCCGUAGUCGAUGGGAACCAGGUUAAUAUUCCUGGGCCUGCUGGAAGUGACGAAUACCGUGUAUCGUUCAUGCUUAUUGGAUUGUGUGGGCGGUGAAGGUGUUCCAGGAAAUAACUCCAGCGUAUAGACCGUACCCCAAACCGACACAGGUGGACUGGUAGAGUAUACCAAGGCGCUUGAGAGAACGGUGUUGAAGGAACUAGGCAAAUUGACCCCGUAACUUUGGAAGAAGGGGUACCCGUUCUUGGGCAACCAGGGACGGGUGGCACUGACCAGGGGGAAGCGACUGUUUACUAAAAACACAGGGCUCUGCGAAGUCGUAAGACGACGUAUAGGGCCUGACGCCUGCCCGGUGCCGGAAGGUUAAGAGGAAGGGUGCAAGCUCUGAAUUGAAGCCCCGGUAAACGGCGGCCGUAACUAUAACGGUCCUAAGGUAGCGAAAUUCCUUGUCGGGUAAGUUCCGACCUGCACGAAUGGCGUAACGAUUUCCCCACUGUCUCCAACACCGACUCAGCGAAAUUGAAUUCUCCGUGCAGAUGCGGAGUACCCGCGGUUAGACGGAAAGACCCCGUGCACCUUUACUGCAGCUUUACAGUGGUAUUAGAGGGUGAAUGUGUAGGAUAGGCGGGAGCCUGUGAAGCGUCGGCGCCAGUUGACGUGGAGGCAACCUUGAAAUACCGCCCUUUUGUUCUCUGGUAUCUAACCGCGACCCGUGAAUCCGGGUCCGGGACCCUGUAUGGUGGGUAGUUUGACUGGGGCGGUCGCCUCCUAAAGAGUAACGGAGGCGCGCGAAGGUGGGCUCAAGCUGGUCGGAAAUCAGCUGUCGAGUGCAAUGGCAUAAGCCCGCCUGACUGUGAGACUGACGGGUCGAGCAGAGACGAAAGUCGGUCAUAGUGAUCCGGUGGUCCCGCGUGGAAGGGCCAUCGCUCAACGGAUAAAAGGUACGCCGGGGAUAACAGGCUAAUAACCCCCAAGAGUCCAUAUCGACGGGGUUGUUUGGCACCUCGAUGUCGGCUCAUCACAUCCUGGGGCUGAAGCAGGUCCCAAGGGUUCGGCUGUUCGCCGAUUAAAGUGGUACGUGAGCUGGGUUUAGAACGUCGUGAGACAGUUCGGUCCCUAUCUGCCGUGGGUGUUGGAGAAUUGAGAGGAGCUGCCCCUAGUACGAGAGGAUCGGGGUGGACGCACCUCUGGUGUACCGGUUGUUCCGCCAGGAGCACCGCCGGGUAGCUAUGUGCGGAAGGGAUAACCGCUGAAAGCAUCUAAGCGGGAAGCCCCCCUCGAAACUAGUUCUCCCUUGAGAGCCGUGGAAGACGACCACGUUGAUAGGCCAGGUGUGGAAGUGCGGUGACGCAUGCAGCUAACUGGUACUAAUCGCUCGAGAGGCUUGAUUCG